rnacentral:rRNA from 1 species
UACGGGGGGGGCAAGCGUUGUUCGGAAUUACUGGGCGUAAAGGGUUCGUAGGUGGCCUACUAAGUCAUACGUGAAAUCCCUCAGCUUAACUGGGGAACUGCGUCUGAGACUGGAAGGCUUGAGUGCAGGAGAGGAACGCGGAAUUCCAGGUGUAGCGGUGAAAUUCGUAGAUAUCAAGAGGAACACCGGUGGCGAAGGCGGCGAUCUGGACGAUGACUGACGCUGAGACGCGAAAGCGUGGGGAGCAAACAGG